GACGAACGCUGGCGGCGUGCUUAACACAUGCAAGUCGAACGGUAAGGCCCUUUCGGGGGUACACGAGUGGCGAACGGGUGAGUAACACGUGGGUGAUCUGCCCUGCACUUUGGGAUAAGCCUGGGAAACUGGGUCUAAUACCGGAUAGGACUACGCGAUGCAUGUCGUGUGGUGGAAAGCUUUUGCGGUGUGGGAUGGGCCCGCGGCCUAUCAGCUUGUUGGUGGGGUGAUGGCCUACCAAGGCGACGACGGGUAGCCGGCCUGAGAGGGUGUCCGGCCACACUGGGACUGAGAUACGGCCGAGACUCCUACGGGAGGCAGCAGUGGGGAAUAUUGCACAAUGGGCGCAAGCCUGAUGCAGCGACGCCGCGUGGGGGAUGACGGCCUUCGGGUUGUAAACCCCUUUCAGCACAGACGAAGCGUAAGUGACGGUAUGUGCAGAAGAAGCACCGGCCAACUACGUG
rnacentral:rRNA from 1 species